GAUGAACGCUGGCGGCGUGCCUAAUACAUGCAAGUCGAACGAGGCCCUUUGUAUUCGUACAAAGGUGUCCUAGUGGCGAACGGGUGAGUAACACGUAGGUGACCUGCCCCAAAGAGGAGGACAACCCCGGGAAACUGGGGCUAAUACUCCAUAAUCUCCAGGGAGUUAGAUACCCCUGGAGCAAAGGAGCAAUCUGCUUUGGGAGGGGCCUGCGGCCCAUCAGCUAGUUGGUAGGGUAAUGGCCUACCAAGGCGAUGACGGGUAGGGGGCCUGAGAGGGUGGUCCCCCACAAUGGAACUGAAACACGGUCCAUACACCUACGGGUGGCAGCAGUAGGGAAUAUUGCCCAAUGGACGAAAGUCUGAGGCAGCAACGCCGCGUGCGCGAUGAAGGCCUUCGGGUUGUAAAGCGCUUUUCUGGGGGAAGAGGAAGGACGGUACCC
rnacentral:rRNA from 1 species